UGCUGUUGUAAAGCAGCUGAACGAAGCCUUCUAUUUGUAUGCUACCCAGCUGCCAGAGCGGCUCAAAUAUAAGCAGGCAGAAACAUAUGAAAAGAGAGACUGGCCUAGCCUCCCAGCCUACGUCUUUCUCCCAUGCUCAAUGCUUCCUGCCCUCGAACAUCGGACUCCAAGUUCUUCAGUUUUGGAACUCGGACUGGCUCUCCUUGCUCCUCAGCCUGUAGAUGGCCUAUUGUGGGACUUUGUGAUCAUAUUUUUCACAUGCUAUCCACAGCGCCUAGAGAUCCAAGCUUUUGUGAACAGGGGCUGACUUGUGAAUGUGAACAAGCACAACGGAAAGCUAGGGAUCAAGGGUGGGGCGCCUCUGAAUUCUGCACUAGAAUAUGCCCAAUCAAAAGCAUAGCUGCAGAGUGCAAAAUUGUCUGUCUCACUAUGGAAGACUGCUUGUCAAUAGCAAAUGGAGGGGCAGAAUAGAGCAAAGGCAGCCCUCAACUGAUCAAACUUUUAACUUUUCUCUAAAAACAUCCUUUGGAAAUAGGUCUAUUUCCCCUUUAACAGAAUAAACUGCAGGAAUUGUUGGACAAUGGGUGCAUUUGGAAGAGCCACGCGGGAGCACUGAGAAGUGAAAUGAUCCAGCUCCAAAAAUAAAGGUGAUACACGUUAAAGUAAUAAAUUGGAAAAAAUAAAAUAGAUGCAACUCUUAGUUCGCAUAUCUGGAAAAGCUGGUUAUAUUGCAAAGACCUUAUUGAGAAUAUUUAUGUAUAUGUGCUACGCAUAAUAAAGCAUUUUGUAACUUAC
rnacentral:lncRNA from 10 species